rnacentral:lncRNA from 1 species
CACACUCACAGGACAGUCCUUGUAUUGGAGACAAACAGCUGUGCCGGAGAGGGGUCCUGAGACAGCAGCUCCGGUGGCCACGUGAAGGUCUGAAGCCCCAAGCGUGCCCAGCUCCAGGAUGGGGUAAGCAGCGGGGGAGGUAGGGCCCUGGUGGCUGGGGGGCCGCCAGGAGCAGCGCCCAGGCCAGUGCUGCCUCUGCCGCCCGGCCUUGCUGCCCGAGCGCACGCUGUGUCUGGGGACAGUCCGGCCGCUGCCCCGGCACCUAUACCUGACACUAUCUUCCUGUGGAAUUAGCCACCUGAAAAGUCUCCUGCCCAGGGAAGUGCAAUGCUGACACUGUCCAUUUUCUGAAGAAAUGAAAAGAAGAGAAAUGCUGCCAGAGAGCAUGUGGCACAGGCGUGGUGAGUGC